UACGUAGGGUGCAAGCGUUGUCCGGAAUUAUUGGGCGUAAAGAGCUCGUAGGCGGCUUGUUGCGUCGACUGUGAAAAACCACGACUCAACCGUGGGACUGCAGUCGAUACGGGCAGGCUAGAGUUCGGUAGGGGAGUCUGGAAUUCCUGGUGUAGCGGUGAAAUGCGCAGAUAUCAGGAGGAACACCGGUGGCGAAGGCGGGACUCUGGGCCGAUACUGACGCUGAGGAGCGAAAGCGUGGGGAGCGAACAGG
rnacentral:rRNA from 1 species